UGGGGAAUAUUGCACAAUGGGGGAAACCCUGAUGCAGCGACGCCGCGUGGAGGAAGAAGGUCUUCGGAUUGUAAACUCCUGUUGUUGGGGACGAUAAUGACGGUACCCAACAAGGAAGUGACGGCUAACUACGUGCCAGCAGCCGCGGUAAAACGUAGGUCACAAGCGUUGUCCGGAAUUACUGGGUGUAAAGGGAGCGCAGGCGGGAAUGCAAGUUGGGAGUGAAAUCUACGGGCUCAACCCGUAAACUGCUCUCAAAACUGUAUUUCUUGAGUAGUGCAGAGGUAGGCGGAAUUCCCGGUGUAGCGGUGGAAUGCGUAGAUAUCGGGAGGAACACCAGUGGCGAAGGCGGCCUGCUGGGCACCAACUGACGCUGAGGCUCGAAAGUGUGGUAGCAAACAGGAUUAGAUACCCUCGU
rnacentral:rRNA from 1 species